rnacentral:rRNA from 1 species
AACGAACGCUGGCGGCAGGCCUAACACAUGCAAGUCGAACGGGUGCCUUCGGGCACUAGUGGCGGACGGGUGAGUAACGCGUGGGAACGUACCCCUUUCUUCGGAAUAGCCUCGGGAAACUGGGAGUAAUACCGGAUAAGCCCUUUGGGGGAAAGAUUUAUCGGGAAGGGAUCGGCCCGCGUUGGAUUAGGUAGUUGGUGGGGUAAUGGCCUACCAAGCCGACGAUCCAUAGCUGGUUUGAGAGGAUGAUCAGCCACACUGGGACUGAGACACGGCCCAGACUCCUACGGGUGGCUG